GAACUGCGCUGCCUGUGCCUGGAGAACUUGGAUAGAAUUCACCUCAAGAACUUCCAGAGUGUGAAGGUGACCUCCCCUGGACCCUACUGCGACAAAACAGAAGUCAUAGCCACUCACAAGGAUGGACAGAAAGUUUGCCUCAACCCCGCAUCCCCCCUGGUUAAGAUGUUACUGGACAAGCUGUUAAAGAAGAGCAGCUCCAACUGACCAGAGGAAGCAGGAAGCAGGAUUGGUGACUCUGCCUGAAGCAGGCCCUGCCCUACAGAAAUUAAAGAGGAAAAAAGGAAUCAUCAUCCCCUAGAGCCACCUCGACUGGACUUAACAUGCUUGAGCAUCUCUUAGGAGAAUUCUUCUGCUUAUUUAUUUAUUUAUUUAUUGGUUGUUUUCAAAUAUUCUAUGUUAAUAGCUUACAUGUGAAAUCAUUAAGGAUCUCAUUGGCUCUACGUGGGCCUUGCACUGUUAUUUUUUAUUGUUUAUAUGAUGGCGAACCCUGGUUCACACCAUUCUGAUUCUUAUUCAAUUUGAAGGUAAAAUGCUUGCAAAUAUUCUCUAAGUCAUUAGAGUAGGAUUUCUGAGGAUCUCACAGCAGUGCCAGCUGCUAUGAUAGAGGAUGGGGGGAUCCAGACAAUAGUUAGUAAAGGAAGGGGGAUGUAUGUGUGCAUCUAUUUUUGUACAUAUUUAAAAGAAUGUCAGUUGUUAUUUAUUGGAACAAUUUCACAGUACGUGGUCAGCAUUUCUAAUGUUGAAGCUU